rfam:Aedes albopictus isolate Foshan contig36000, whole genome shotgun sequence.
CUCCAGUUAGCCUUCUGGAUAAGGCCUUGGAUUGCCAAUCCGGAGACGGCGGGUUCGAUUCCCGUUCUGGUCG